UUCAAACUUGAGAGUUUGAUCCUGGCUCAGAACGAACGCUGGCGGCAGGCUUAACACAUGCAAGUCGAACGGAUGUAGCAAUACAUCAGUGGCAGACGGGUGAGUAACACGUGGGAACCUUCCUCGUUGUACGGGACAACUCAGGGAAACUUGAGCUAAUACCGUAUACGUCCGAGAGGAGAAAGAUUUAUCGCAAUGAGACGGGCCCGCGUCGGAUUAGCUAGUUGGUGGGGUAACGGCCUACGUAGCUGAUCUGAGAGGAUGAUCAGCCACACUGGGACUGAGACACGGCCCAGACUCCUACGGGAGGCAGCAGUGGGGAAUCUUGGACAAUGGGCGCAAGCCUGAUCCAGCCAUGCCGCGUGAGUGAAGAAGGCCUUAGGGUUGUAAAGCUCUUUUGCCAGGGACGAUAAUGACGGUACCUGGAGAAUAAGCCCCGGCAAACUUCGUGCCAGCAGCCGCGGUAAUACGAAGGGGGCUAGCGUUGUUCGGAUUUACUGGGCGUAAAGCGCACGUAGGCGGAUUGUUAAGUCAGGGGUGAAAUCCCGGAGCUCAACUCCGGAACUGCCUUUGAUACUGGCAAUCUUGAGGCUGGAAGAGGUUAGUGGAAUUCCCAGUGUAGAGGUGAAAUUCGUAGAUAUUGGGAAGAACACCAGUGGCGAAGGCGGCUAACUGGUCCAGAUCUGACGCUGAGGUGCGAAAGCGUG
rnacentral:rRNA from 1 species